AGGCACCACAACGGGUGGAGCUUGCGGUUUAAUUGGAUUCAACGCCGGAAAUCUUACCGGGACCGACAGCAAUAUGAAGGCCAGGCUGAAGACUUUGCCGGAUUAGCUGAGAGGUGGUGCAUGGCCGUCGUCAGUUCGUACUGUGAAGCAUCCUGUUAAGUCAGGCAACGAGCGAGACCCACGCCCACAGUUGCCAGCGUACUCUCUGGAGUGACGGGUACACUGUGGGGACCGCCGCUGCUAAAGCGGAGGAAGGAAUGGGCAACGGUAGGUCAGUAUGCCCCGAAUAUCCCGGGCUACACGCGAGCUACAAUGGUUGGUACAAUGGGUAUCUACCCCGAAAGGGGACGGGAAUCUCCUAAAACCAAUCUUAGUUCGGAUUGAGGGCUGCAACUCGCCCUCAUGAAGCUGGAAUCCGUAGUAAUCGCGUUUCAACAGAACGCGGUGAAUACGUCCCUGCUCCUU
rnacentral:rRNA from 1 species